UGACCACAUCCGCUGAGGAAGUUAAGGCCAUACGGACAGCCGGGUCAAAUGCCGA
rnacentral:sRNA from 1 species